GAUGAACGCUGGCGGCGUGCCUAAUACAUGCAAGUCGAGCGAGCGGACGAGAAGCUUGCUUCUCUGAUGUUAGCGGCGGACGGGUGAGUAACACGUGGAUAACCUACCUAUAAGACUGGGAUAACUUCGGGAAACCGGAGCUAAUACCGGAUAAUAUUUUGAACCGCAUGGUUCAAAAGUGAAAGACGGUCUUGCUGUCACUUAUAGAUGGAUCCGCGCUGCAUUAGCUAGUUGGUAAGGUAACGGCUUACCAAGGCAACGAUGCAUAGCCGACCUGAGAGGGUGAUCGGCCACACUGGAACUGAGACACGGUUCAGACUCCUACGGGAGGCAGCAGUAGGGAAUCUUCCGCAAAGGGCGAAAGCCUGACGGAGCAACGCCGCGUGAGUGAUGAAGGUCUUCGGAUCGUAAAACUCUGUUAUUAGGGAAGAACAUAUGUGUAAGUAACUGUGCACAUCUUGACGGUACCUAAUCAGAAAGCCACGGCUAACUACGUG
rnacentral:rRNA from 1 species